rnacentral:lncRNA from 1 species
UUUAUUUAUGCCUGAUGGGAAUAGAUGAGAUCACUCAGGAAGAAUAUGUCAUGUGAAAACAGAAGAACUGGUUUGUACCGGACACAGAGGAAACAGUGCCUGCCAGGGAGAAGGGAGAGGAGUGCUAGAGAGGGAGGAGAAAGCCAGGAGAAAGGCCAAGGGGUAACUGUUUCUACAUGCAGAGCGUGGAGCCAACGUUGUCAUGGUCACUGGCUGCAGCUGUUACACUGGCCUUAGGAAGUCACCAUCUUCGGUGGGGACCUUUCUCAGACAAUCUAUUCUUCCACAAUUCUCCUUGAGCAACCAAGAUAUUAACGGGGAAGACUUGAAGUUUCUAUGCUGCUUGAUCCAGAAUUUUCUCACCAUGGAUGUGGGGUUCUCACCUUUGAAGGGGAAUGCAUUGUGGACACAAACAAGAACUGUCUGUACUCUUGCAGGAAGUGGAAAUGGUACAAACCAGCAUUUGAGUGAAUGAACACUGAAAUGCAUGCUGCAACCAAUCACUGGAUCAGGAUAAUUGUUUUCCUCAAUCCUCUGACAAAAAGAGUUGGAGGCGUCAGGAAGAGCAAGAACAAUUUGGCUCUCAGUGAAUUUUUAAUAAACAAU